UACGUAGGGUCCAAGCGUUAUUCGGAAUGACUGGGCGUAAAGGGUGCGUAGGUGGCCUGUUAAGUCAGGGGUGAAAGACGGUAGCUCAACUAUCGCAGUGCCCUUGAUACUGAUGGGCUUGAAUGAACUAGAGGUAGGCGGAAUGUGACAAGUAGCGGUGAAAUGCAUAGAUAUGUCACAGAACACCAAUUGCGAAGGCAGCUUACUAUGGUUUUAUUGACACUGAGGCACGAAAGCGUGGGGAUCAAACAGG
rnacentral:rRNA from 1 species